AUCUUCACAGUCACAAGUGUUCUGGAGGAAAGCCAGCUGAUCCACAGCAUGGUUUCCAGCAGAACAGGGGACCUGAAUUGCUUCCUCACUGUGGUCUAUGGAUUCAAUGGACUGGAGCAAAGAAGAACUCUAUGGAGCAGUCUAUAAAAUUUGGCAAAAGGAUUUAAAGAACCAUGGGUUGUAGCAAGGGAUUUCAAUGUAAUCUUGUGUGAAAAAGACAGACAAUCAUGUAAGUCAGUCAGAUUACCAGAAAUAAUGGACUUCAACAAUUGCCUAUAGCUUACUGGACUGAGUUAACUACCCUGGAGAGGUGACUACUACACAUGGACUAAUAAGCAAACUGGUGUGGACAGAGUAUGCAGCAGGCUUGACAGAGUGUAUGGCAAUUAUGACUGGAGGAUCACCUGGAAUCAGGUGGUCACUGAGUAUGAUGUACCAGUAAUUUCAGACCAUAACCCAAUGAUACUAACAUUGAAAGCAUCCACUUGGAAAGGAAAGAGGCACUUCAAAUUCUUCAAUGUAUGGGCUGAACACAGAGAUUUCCAACACAUUGUGACAACAGUAUGGCAGGACGGGAAGACAGAUACCAAGAGAACAAUAUGGGACAGACUUAAAGCCCUGAACACUCCUUUGAAGACACUCAAUAACAAGAAAUUCAAAACAAUUACACUUAGAAUUGAGCAGUGUCGACAGGAACUGGGAAUCAUACAAAAUCAAUUGAGUCAAGCCUACAAUGAUGCACUACAACAGAAGGAGAAGGAACUGAUAUUGCAACUGGAAAAAUGGUCUUUGAUUGAGAAGAGUGUCCUGCAACAGAAGGGGCAAGAGCAAAGUGGAUACAACUGGGGGACUCCAACACCAAAUAUUUUACUACAGUAAUGAAGGAUAGAAGUCAGCAGAAGCAGAUUCAUGAAAUUACCAACGCACAGGGCAUCAGGCUGACUACACCAACAGAAAUUAAAGAGGAAAUUAUGGGCUUCUACAAAGCACUGAUGGGCACUGCUGAACCAACACUACCUGCUAUCAAUAAACUGUACAUGUCCAAUGGCCCAAAACUGAACCAACAGCAAAGACAAGAACUGUGUGCUCCAGUUACUGAAACAGAAAUAACAGAAAGUCUCAAAGCUAUUGGAGAUGACAAAGCACCAGGAAUAGAUGGAUACAAUGCAGUCUUCUUCAAAAAGAGCUGGAGCAUCAUUGGUCACCUCAAAGCCAUUGGAGAUGACAAAGCACCAGGAAUAGAUGGAUACAAUGCAGUCCUCUUCAAAUAGAGAUGGAGCAUCAUUGGAAACAAAGUCACUAAUGUCAUUAAGCAGUUCUUCAACUCAGCAAAGAUGUGCAGACCAAUAAACUGUACAACUAUUACUCUCAUCCCUAAAAUGUCCAAACCAGCUUCAAUCGAAGAGUAUAGACCUAUAGCUUGUUGUACUGUUCUCUACAAACUCAUCUCCAAAGUACUGGCUAACAGGUUGCAGAAGGUGAUGGCAAGCCUUAUCGAUGAAGCCCAGGCAGGCUUCAUCCCAGGUAGGAAAAUUCAGGACAACAUCAUCCUAGCCCAUGAGCUUGUCAAAAGCUAUACUAGGAAGCAUAUCUCCCCCAGAUGCAUGAUUAAGAUAGACCUCCAGAAUGCAUAUGAUUCAGUGGAAUGGGUG
rnacentral:lncRNA from 1 species